rnacentral:rRNA from 1 species
AGUGAACGCUGGCGGUAGGCCUAACACAUGCAAGUCGAACGGCAGCACAGUAAGAGCUUGCUCUUACGGGUGGCGAGUGGCGGACGGGUGAGGAAUACAUCGGAAUCUGCUUUUUCGUGGGGGAUAACGUAGGGAAACUUACGCUAAUACCGCAUACGACCUACGGGCGAAAGCAGGGGAUCUUCGGACCUUGCGCGAUUGAAUGAGCCGAUGUCGGAUUAGCUAGUUGGCGGGGUAAAGGCCCACCAAGGCGACGAUCCGUAGCUGGUCUGAGAGGAUGAUCAGCCACACUGGAACUGAGACACGGUCCAGACUCCUACGGGAGGCAGCAGUGGGGAAUAUUGGACAAUGGGCGCAAGCCUGAUCCAGCCAUACCGCGUGGGUGAAGAAGGCCUUCGGGUUGUAAAGCCCUUUUGUUGGGAAAGAAAAGCAGCAGGUUAAUACCCCGCUGUUCUGACGGUACCCAAAGAAUAAGCACCGGCUAACUUCGUG